rnacentral:rRNA from 1 species
UGGGGAAUUUUGGACAAUGGGCGAAAGCCUGAUCCAGCCAUGCCGCGUGAGUGAAGAAGGCCUUCGGGUUGUAAAGCUCUUUUAGUCGGAAAGAAAGAGUUGCAAUGAAUAAUUGUGAUUUAUGACGGUACCGACAGAAAAAGCACCGGCUAACUACGUGCCAGCAGCCGCGGUAAUACGUAGGGUGCGAGCGUUAAUCGGAAUUACUGGGCGUAAAGGGUGCGCAGGCGGUCUUGCAAGUCAGAUGUGAAGGCCCCGGGCUUAACCUGGGAAUUGCGUUUGAAACUACAAGGCUAGAGUGCAGCAGAGGGGAGUGGAAUUCCAUGUGUAGCAGUGAAAUGCGUAGAGAUGUGGAAGAACACCGAUGGCGAAGGCAGCUCCCUGGGUUGACGCUCAGGGACGAAAGCGUGGGGAUCAAACA